AAGUAAUGAAUUCUUGCUUCUCCAGAAAAGGAAGUUUUGACCAAUUUUAAAAAAUAUGUUGGUGGCCCAUGAGGUCUUCAAGAGCAUCUUUUCUAAGUUCUUUUGGAAUUUUUGAAAAUCACUCUGGCAGCCUUCCAACAAUUUAGGUGGCUUAUUCUUCCUAAAAGUCUGGGCUUUUGCCCCUAACUUUUUCAUCCAGCUGUGUUCUGUCUGGAAGCUGGAGAUUUCGGCUCUCUCAUGCCUCCAUUGAACCCUCCAGAUUCUGGUACCUGCAUCCUAUCCCGCCCAGCACCUGCUCCAAGAUCAAAUUCUGUAUUACUCCGUUACUUUUGGAAGGACCAGCAGGGCUGCCUUCACUUUACACUGACAUUUGACCCUGAAUUUUUCUUGAGAGAACAUGUUUUCUUUUCAAAUAGUCUUACAGAUUUUUCAAACAAAUGCUGUUAUAAAGUGCCUGUAGUGGUGUAAUAGAAACCUCCCUCUUCUAUGAACAGCUCUGCUGUUCCUUACAGGGCAGCAGCUGUUAUGCAAGUAGAACUUUUAGUGUUAGCAUCUUUGUCUACUCUUGCACUCUUCAGGGUUGCUGCAAGGACUUUAUUUGUACCUGCUUCAUUAAUCGUCUGGGUUAUUACCUCAAGGUAUUAAAAUGUAUUCCAGACAUUAAUACUACUGAGAUAAUACUCCGGAAUGUGAAGACCACAGGCAUAUGGCCAAGUUACUUUCAGUUCAUCCUUGAGGGGAGAGAGCUACCUUCAAAUGGAACUUGGCUGCAAAGAUCAAUAACCAGUAAUUGACUGUUACUACAAACAAGGCAAAAAAUACAACUGUUAUUUGAGACAUUGUGGUUAUACAGACUUGUUCCAGGCACGUUCAACAUAUACAGAUAUUAGAUGUUUAAACAUUGCCUUUCUUUAAGUUUAGGGCACGUAGCUGACAAGACAACAUGAAAAGCACAGUGUUGCCUUUGAAAACAUGACUGAAACCUUCAACAGGUGAUUCAGCCAAAAAGAGCACACAAAAUGUACUACUUUCUAUAAUUUGGGGGCUGGAUUCAGAACUAACAUAAUGAGCAUAAUGCUGAACAUUGCUAGAAUCAUCCAGUUACAAGCAAGUUGAACAUAAAGAGUUAGCCAAAGGACUCAUCUUUGCAACAUCUUGAUGGGCAGACUUUUUUAGACCAUGUCUCAGCCAAAUUAUAGCCAAAAAAAUGGAUUUUUUUUUAAUUAAUAAUUUAUUAUGAGAGCUCAGAAUUCCAAAAGUGAGCUCCCACUGGUUUCAGUGAGGCCAGGAUUUCAGCUCUGUGUUGCAACUGGAUACAUAUAUAUCUGCGCUGGGAAACUGGAGAUGACUGCCAUGGAAUUAUUCAAAAGAUUCAUAAACCAAGCCACUUCAAACAUUAAAACACAACAGAGACAACUCUGUAGGCAGAAUAAUUACUAGUCAUAAAUUGUGAGUGGUUUGGGGUUUUUUGUCUUGGAGGUGUUGUAUGCAGGAAUCUCAGUGCUGGAGUGGUUACAGUGUGAAACAGUAAAAUCAGAAUGCUAUGCUGUUAGAAUGGAAAAGAUAGAAAUCAUUGAAAUUGAGCUGAUGAAGGAUACAGAACUCUUUGUAUUUACAAACAAGGGAUUUGCCUCUCUUCUGGAUUCUCUAACACUCAUUUUUCAUAUACUAAAAACAAAUUUACUCAUAAGUUUGGAGGGUUGUGCAUGCUUAUGGGCUUUUUUUUUUUACAUUUCUGCAAAGCCUAAUUAAACAAGACAUUUGCUUAGAUAAUUAAUUACACAAAGCAGGCAAGGCAUUUUUAAAAUAUAUUUUUACUAGACUCUGUUAACCUAUUACCUUUUGAAAAAAGUAUGUGAAGAAACAGUCAGGUCACUACAUCGUCCCUUGCCAAAGUAAAGAGUACAGGAUUCUUGAGGAAUUCUACUGCUUGGCCUCUCUGAAAUUAGGUAAGAGUUUGUCUCUGGCACUGACUGCAUCAUCCACAAAGUUUUAUGUAUAGAAAAAGAUCAUAUGUUUGUGCUCCAUAAAACUAACUGCUAAAUACUUUUAAUUAGAAUGAUUGUUCAGUCAACCAUCUUAAUUUCUUUUAUUUUCUUGAGUCACAAUAGUUGUUAGCAUAAUGGUAAUUCUCUUAAAAUCCAUCAGAUACUUGAGGAAGUCUCUAAAUAAAGUUAACAUCUGAAAAUAAGCAAUUCUUUACAGUAUAUUGUGUUUCUGAGUGGAAACUUUAAGUCUGGUUAAGGUCAGCUUUACUUAGUUUCAAAGCUACUGUGGGACUCGAAGUGUGAGCUAAGGCCCCGUUUUCCAGAAAUGGAGGGAGACAAAAGAAGUUGCUUUCUGUGGAUAAAACUCUCUAACAGUAAUAAAGACCUCACUGGAGCAGAAAGACGCAACUCAUUCUUCCCUGUGCCUGUUGGACUGAGUUGGUUUUCUCUAGCAUUUGUGAGGUCUGUGAGAAAUGUUUGGAUAAGAUCUUUUGGUGCUGUUCCCAGAACAUAGUUCAUGUGAUAUCAAAGAAUCCUGAUGUUUUGCCAGGGAACUUUUUGUCAUUGGGAAUUCGGAGGCUGGGUUUGUAAAGGAUUGGAUGAGCUGCAAUACAAAGGCAACUCCUGAGCAACCUAUUCUGGCAGGCCAUCUUCUGUCAAAGGCCACCAGGGACCUGUACCAGCAGACUCCACCCAAAAGAAGAAUGGAGCAAAGGAGAGACAGGUGACACUUUAACUUCUGUAGCACUGCAGAGCUGAAGCUGAAACAUCAGUUGUCCAGGCCAUGGAUUUGCACUGAAAUAUGAAUUACUGGAAUAACUAAAGGAGGUCACUGUAACCUUCCUUAAAGCCAGAGUGUCCUUGUCUUGAAGCAGGGAGAUCAGAGAUGAAGACCAGACUGAUGUGCAAUUAUUAUAUUCCUUCAACUGCAAGAAUUGGUGACCCUAGCUGCCUGAGAAGUGGGAAGGAGGGGUGUGACUGUCCUCACUCAAAUACUGUUUCAGUAGCAUUACCAUCUCUCUGCACAUCAGUCUAAAGCAGUGGUUCCCAAUCUUUUUUUCCACCUGUCACCCCUAAGUUUUGUUCACUGACAGGACAGUUCUGGGUGAAUGGACAGUCCUGGGUGAAUGGAAGGUAGGCAUACAGAGAAUUUUCCUCACUACUUCCUUUCACCUCCUGAAGUCUGGAGUUGCAGACAGCAUGUUUUGACUUCUGAGUAAAUGCAAGGAAUUUAUUCUACCACUGCUGUUCACAGUAGUUACUUAAGGUGCAGUCUGUCACCACCUGCUUACAAUAUACAAAAGAUGAGAAAGAAGGAGGUUUUCCAGAAGCCUUAAAUUUGUACUGAUCAUCUAUUAGGUAUAUUGUGCAUCUUUUGUGCUUAGUGGAGAUGAAAAGGUGAGAAUCCUAUUGUAUCAAGUUUAUAUAGCUUCAGCUCACAAAAUAUUAUUCUGCUUACUAAUGCAUAUGUUAUGUAAGAAUUGUUAGAAAUCUGAGAAGCUAUUUUGUCCAACUUUGGUUUCUCUCCAUAGUUUCCAUUAUUAUCUGGUAUGAGGAAGGUCUCAAACAGGUUUAAAAAUGAUUGAAAAAUGAGCCAGAUUUGUACUGCUAACAAUUACAUACAAUGGCAGAAGAAUUGUGUUUGGAGUCAUGAUGGAAAAUGAGUAAACUCCCAAAUGUGUCCCUCUUUUGUUAUUACAUGAAUGGCACAAUCAACAAUUAUCAAGUCCUUCUACCGAAUCUCUUGCUCAGAAAGGAAAAAUGAGGAAGCUGGCUAAUGCUGAUAAGGAUAAAAGCUUGGGAUCCAUUUGAACACAGCAUACAAUUAUUCCAGGUUAUGAAGGAGGAUCACAUUAUACUGUGAUCAUCAAAUUCCAGCUGCUGGAGGAAAGGAUAAAAGCAGUCCUACUUGCAGGUCUGUAAAACUGACUAUUAUACUG